rnacentral:sRNA from 1 species
AUGAUUCAGGAGGUGAAGGGGGAGGUGACCAUCCACUACAACAAGCUGCAGGCGGACCCCAAGCAGGGCAUGUCCCUGGACAUUGUGUUGAAGAAAGUCAAGCACCGGCUGGUGGAGAACAUGAGUUCAGGGACUGCAGAUGCUCUGGGCCUGAGCCGGGCCAUCCUGUGCAAUGAUGGGCUUGUCAAGAGGCUAGAGGAGCUGGAGCGGACCGCCGAACUGUACAAAGGGAUGACGGAACACACCAAGAACCUCCUACGGGCCUUUUAUGAGCUGUCGCAGACUCACCGGGGUAAUGGCAUCCCCCAAACCUGUGGCAUGACCCUGGGCAAUCCCUGGGGCCUCUCACUCCCAUGCUGAGGUGGGUUAGACCCACAGCGCCUGACCUCAGGCUCCCUCUGGGCUGGGCCUGGUCCCAGGUGCUGGGAUUCGUGAUGGGCCUGUGGGGAGCAUCUAGAUCAGCUGGCUUCUUAAGGGCCGCAACGAUGGACAGGCCCCACCCUGUCUCCUCACACUGCCACUAGCAGUACACAAGGCCCUUGCUUAUUUAUAUUU